rnacentral:rRNA from 1 species
AUGGAGCAUGACCUGGCAAAAGCGAGAAAUAUGAAGCUGGUGCUUUGCUUAUUUGAACAAUUGUAUGGGUUAAAGAUUAACUUUCAUAAAAGCGAAUUGUUCUGCUUUGGUAGAGCCAAGGAGGAACAUGAGGCAUAUAGGCAAUUGUUCGGAUGUGAAUUAGGAGUUUUACCUUUCACCUACUUAGGUAUACCUAUUCACCAUCGUAAGCUUACAAACCGAGAGUGGAAGUGCGUUGAGGAUCGGUUUGAAAAGAAACUGAGUUGCUGGAAGGGCAAACUUAUGUCGUAUGGAGGCCGAUUAAUUCUUAUUAAUUCGGUACUCACAAGUAUGUCGAUGUUCCCAUUAUCUUUCUUUGAGGUUCCAGUUGGGGUUAGGAAACGACUGGACUUCUACCGAUCAAGAUUUUUCUGGCAGAGUGAUGAACUUAAGAGAAAGUAUAGACUCGCUAAGUGGGAUGUCAUCUGUAGACCUAAGGACCAAGGGGGGUUGGGUAUUGAAAAUCUUGAGGUCAAGAACAGAUGCAUGCUUAGUAAGUGGCUGUAUAAGCUUUCGGGUCCGACUGAUGCAACUUGGGCGCAGAUUCUCCGUAACAAGUAUCUGCAGUCCAAAACUUUGUCACAGGUGACAGUGAGACCAACUGAUUCACCGUUUUGGAAGGGGCUUAUGAGAGUCAAGGUAACCUUUUUUAGUAGAACAAAGUUUAUUGUUGGUGAUGGAAAUGACACACGUUUCUGGGAGGACACCUGGCUGGGUGAUACACCUCUAGCAAUACAAUACCCAACAUUGUAUCGAGUUGUCCAGCGACGUGAUGCGCUAGUUGCAACGAUAAUGCAGUCCAUUCCACUUAACAUUCAGUUUCGGCGGGUGCUUGUUGGUGAGAGAUGGGAAGCUUGGCUCCAUUUGGUGCGUAGACUGAUGGAAGUCCAGCUAGCGCAACAGCCCGAUCAGUUAAGUUGGAAGCUUACUAGGAACGGACAAUUUACUGUCAAGUCGAUGUACACCGAUGUCAUCAAUUCCACGGUCAUUCCUAGUACCAGACAUGUUUGGAAAGUAAAAGUGCCUUUGAAAAUUAAAGUGUUUAUGUGGUUUGUCCAUAAACAGGUAAUUUUAACAAAGGACAACUUGGUCAAGCGCAAUUGGACUGGAUCUACUAGGUGUAGCUUCUGUGAUUAG